rnacentral:rRNA from 1 species
GAUGAACGCUGGCGGCGUGCCUAAUACAUGCAAGUCGAGCGAACAGACGAGGAGCUUGCUCCUCUGACGUUAGCGGCGGACGGGUGAGUAACACGUGGAUAACCUACCUAUAAGACUGGGAUAACUUCGGGAAACCGGAGCUAAUACCGGAUAAUAUAUUGAACCGCAUGGUUCAAUAGUGAAAGACGGUUUUGCUGUCACUUAUAGAUGGAUCCGCGCCGCAUUAGCUAGUUGGUAAGGUAACGGCUUACCAAGGCGACGAUGCGUAGCCGACAUGAGAGGGGAACCCGCAACAGGGGGACUGAGAUAAGGCCCAGAAGCGGACGGGAGGCAGAAGGGGGGAAGAUUGCACAAUGGUCGGAAGCCAGAUGCAGCAACGCCGCGCGCGGGAUGACGGACUGCGGGUGGUAAACCGCUUGCGCCGGUGACGAAGCGGGAGUGACGGGAACGGGUAAAGAAGAACCGGCUAACUACGUG